rnacentral:rRNA from 1 species
UACGAAGGGGGCUAGCGUUGCUCGGAAUCACUGGGCGUAAAGCGCACGUAGGCGGGUCUUUAAGUCAGGGGGGAAAUCCUGGAGCUCAACUCCAGAACUGCCUUUGAUACUGAGGAUCUCGAGUCCGGGAGAGGUGAGUGGAACUGCGAGUGUAGAGGUGAAAUUCGUAGAUAUUCGCAAGAACACCAGUGGCGAAGGCGGCUCACUGGCCCGGUACUGACGCUGAGGUGCGAAAGCGUGGGGAGCAAACAGG